CACUUGGGGAAGAGAAUUGGGGUGUAAAGGAAAUUCAGGACUUUGUGUUAGCAAAACAGAUUACUGACGUCUCCAGUGGAAAACUAUGCAUUUUUUGUGUCCAUCCUUCCUGGUUAUCUGAUUCUUAAGAUUUAUGACUUUCACUACUUUGAGCUAUUUUAUAACUCUGCUUUUGUAGAUAACUGAUAGCAAUGUAAAUAAUUAUCUUCUAUUCACGCAAAUAAAUCCUGGCCCCUGGAGAUUUCGAGUAAAAUAAAAUGGCUGCUUCAUGGGGUGUCCCUGGGAGGGACCCCUUUCUGUAAGAGGAUUUUCCAGAUGACAGACACAAUUGACCUACAGGUGCUUUCUGAGAAAACGGAGUCGAGAGCACCCUACAGAACUGCAGUUUUGGUGUCAGACGUGGGAUCUGAAGGAGACUGUCCCCCCCUUGGUCCCCCGAGGAAGCAAACAAAAGAAACCCUCUGAGCCCUUUGUGCUCGGCUCUCUCUGGCACCUGGAGGUGGGCAGAGGGGCUGAACUGCAGAUUUGAGUUGGCAGAAGAAAGAAUCAACAAAUUUGAAAAUAGGUCAAUUGAGAUUAUCCAGUCUGAGGAAAAGAAAAAAGAAUGAAGAACAAUGAACAAAUGCUCAGAGCCCAUCAAGAGCGUCAUGGGACGUGGUCAAGCAUAGCCACAUGUCCAGCAUGGAAUCCCAGAAGGAGAGGAGAGAAGGUGGCCAAAAGAUUAUUUGAAGAUACGAUGGCUUAAGUUGUGAGAGAAUAAACUUCAGUUGUUGUGGGAUCCCUAAGAAACAAUACAUGACAAAAGAAAAAAUAGAUAAAUUGGAUUGGAAUUCAUAAAAAUUUAAAACUUAAGACAACCCAUGGGACAAGAGAAAGAAUGUUCAAACCAUGUUUCUGAUAAGGAACUUCUAUCCGGGAUAGAUAAAGAACCCAGAUGAAAAUGGGCAAAAGACCAGGUAGACAUUUCUCCAAAGAAGAUAUACAAAGGCCAAUAAGUACAUGAGGAGAUGCUAAGCAUCCUUAACUAGAAAACAGUCUGGCAGUUCCUAAAAAUGUUAAACACAGCUAUUAUAUGAUCCAACAAUUCCACUCCUAGACAGAAUUCACCGGUUUUCAGUAUAGUCGCAGAAUUGUGCAAGCAUCACUACUGUCUAAUUUUAGAACAUUCAUCACCUCCAAAAGAAACCCACCCUUUUUAGCCACCACUUCCCAAUCACACACACACCAGCCUAGGAAACCGUGCAUCUAUUUUCUGUCUUUAGUUUUUCCUGUUUUAAACAUUUUAUAUAAACUGAAUCAUACAAUUUUGGAUCUUUUCUGGUAAACUUCUUGCAUGUAGCAUAAUAUUCCAAGGUCCAUCCACAUCGUAGUGUGUAUCAGUUCAUCCUUCCAUUUUAUGGCUGAAUAAUAGUUCAUAGUAUGGAUAUAUCGCAUUUUAUUUAUCCAUUCUUCAAUUGUUGGACAUUUGGAUUGUUUCCACUUUUUGGCUGUUCAUGAAUAAUGCUGCUGUCAACAAGUGUGUACACAUUUCUGUGUGGAUGUAUAGUUUCAUUUCUCGAGCCUAUACCUAGGAGUGGUUUACUGGGUCAUAUUAUAACUCUAUGUUUAACAUUUUGAGGAACUGCCAGACUAUUUUCCAAAGUGGUUGCACUGGUUUACAAUCCCACCGUUAAUCAAUGAGAGUUCCAGUUCCUCCCAGGAUAUCUUGUAAACCUAAAUCUUUGUGAUUUCCCAGAGAUUUGUUCUUCUACCUUAUGAUAAGAGGCACUAGCAGUAUGUAAUAUUGCUUGAUACGCGCCCACUGCAAAUUUCAUGGCAAGAGUUGCCAGCUGGCAGAAGUGCUCAGCCUCUCCUAUGCUAAAUUUCUAUAGGCAAAAUGUUAAUUAACAUAAAUGCUGUAGAAACUGUGUGCUUCUUGGGAAGUCCCUGGAGAUUUCUUCAGCUCUCACGGUCCAUGAUCUGUUUCAACCUCAAGGAAAACAUGGAUCAGAACUCAUGAAGUUGUUUUGUCCUUUUCCUCUAUUUAUCAGAGUCCUGCUGCUGCUUUGCCCAAGGCUCUUUGGCAACAACAGUAGCAUGUUAUCAGCCAUAAUUCGGUUAUUGUUUUAAAUGUUAACUGGACCCCAGCCUUCCUUACCUCGUUUGAAUCUAGUGUCUUCUGGGCUGGUGGUUUUCCACAACCUGCACAGCAGACUCACCUAUGAAGUUUAAUAGAAAUACAGAUGUCUCCACCCUGGGGAGACGACUGAAUUGCUUCUUUGAUAUUCCUGGUAUAUUCUUGGCAUUUGGUGUAUAUUUUGCCUCAGGCUUAGUAUGUGUUAUAUAUCACAACUUUUCCCUCAGUAAGAAUUAUUAGUCCAUAUUUAUAAAGCAGGUGUAUUAUUCACUGACUUCUUUGAAAAUUUAUGGUCUGUAAAGACAUUUGUCUAAUUUUGGUAACAUGGCUCUUUGGUCUUCUUUGGCCUGACACAGAAACAACCAAAUUCCUCAUCAGUUGCAUUAUUGUUAUUAUGAGCCCUCAUCAGGCCGCUCAGCUUUGAAGAUGUUGGGUAAAUUAAGCCCAUUGAAUCUGUCACCCAGAGAGAGUCUGUUUGGCUCACAGUUGCGCGAAGCUCCCGCACUUGGCUCCACCCCAGAAGCUGUCUUCAGCCAAGGACAGUUCCCGGAGGCCUGUGGGAAAGGACAGCCUGAGUCCUGGGACCCACGGAGCCUUUGAAGGGCAGACCCUGGGCACGGGCUUCCGAUGGGGUCACAGCCGGCUGUCGGCUCGGUCCAGGUGCUGGGUCCACGUGUCCAGGCUCCUCAUGGAGAAGACGGCCCUGGGACGGCCAGCCCCCGCUCCGGCAGACCAGGAACCAGCAACACAGGAAGGGGAUCCUGCUGUGGUCACGUGUCUGGAGCACUGUGGAGGUUCGGUGUCUCAAAUUCCUGGGCACAGGAGGAAGCUCUUUCUCUCCAGCUAUCUGUAACCCACGUCAGUUCGGGAGGCUCUGAUCUCGUAAACUGACAUGCAAUGAUUUUAAGUGACAUCUGAUUCUCCCUCACCCGCCUAUUCGCUUCCCAAGUGUACUGCUUUGAUUAGAGCUCCUCCCGAUUUCAGGGGACCCCAGAACGUGACUGGAAAUAGGAUCUUCACAGAUGCGGUUCAGAUGAGGCAGCAUUCAGUGGCCCUACAUCCAGUGACCGGGGUCCUCAGGAGCCGGCCGGGUGAGCGCACAGGACGCAUGGUGACAGAAGCAGGGGUGGGAGCACCGCCCUACAGGCCGAGGCCACCGCCGACUCCUUUCCCGGACCCUGCAGAGGGAAUGGCCUUGCCGUCACCUCGGUCACACUUCCAGACCCCUGGACUGCAAAAGAGGACAUUUCUGUUGAUUUUAGCCUCUGGGUUACUUUUCGUUGCAAUGUCGAUGUUUGCACCGGUUCACUAAGAAUCUAUCUUCCUUUUUACCAGGAUAUAAUUGGAAAAGUCGGUCAUGUGGCCAAGGCCUCAUCCAGAAUGUCCUGCUAGAGUGUGGCUCAGGAGUCAGGGCUGAGAAGUCGCUUUUAAGGUGCUUGGGUUGGUGUGCCCGUUUGAAUGUAUUAUGUCCCCCAGAAUGCCAUUAUCUUUGAUGUAAUCUUGUAUGAGCAGAGGUAUUAGUGUUGAUUAGACUGUAAUUCUUUUGAGUGUUUCC